AACGAACGCUGGCGGCAGGCUUAACACAUGCAAGUCGAACGCCCCGCCAGGGGCGUGGCAGACGGGUGAGUAACGCGUGGGAACAUACCCUUUUCUACGGAAUAGCUCUGGGAAACUGGAAUUAAUACCGUAUACGCCCUACGGGGGAAAGAUUUAUCGGGGAAGGAUUGGCCCGCGUUGGAUUAGCUAGUUGGUGGGGUAAAGGCCUACCAAGGCGACGAUCCAUCGCUGGUCUGAGAGGAUGAUCAGCCAAAUUGGUACUGAGACACGGCCCAAACUCCAACGGGAGGAGGCGGGGAGAAAUAUGGUACAAGGGGCCAAAGCCUAACCCGGCAGUGCCGCAGGAGUUAAACCGCCCUUAGGGUUGAAACUCUCUCCCCCCAAUGAAAAAAAGCAGGAUAGCCGAGAAAAAACCCCCGUCAAUCUUGGUC
rnacentral:rRNA from 1 species